GACGAACGCUGGCGGCGUGCCUAAUACAUGCAAGUAGAACGCACAGGAUGCACCGUAGUUUACUACACCGUAUUCUGUGAGUUGCGAACGGGUGAGUAACGCGUAGGUAACCUGCCUGGUAGCGGGGGAUAACUAUUGGAAACGAUAGCUAAUACCGUAUAAGAACAUUUACUGCAUGGUAGAUGUUUAAAAGGUGCAAGAGCAUCACUACCAGAUGGACCUGCGUUGUAUUAGCUAGUUGGUGAGGUAACGGCUCACCAAGGCAACGAUACAUAGCCGACCUGAGAGGGUGAUCGGCCACACUGGGACUGAGACACGGCCCAGACUCCUACGGGAGGCAGCAGUAGGGAAUCUUCGGCAAUGGGGGGAACCCUGACCGAGCAACGCCGCGUGAGUGAAGAAGGUUUUCGGAUCGUAAAGCUCUGUUGUUAAGGACGAACGUGUGUGAGAGUGGAAAGUUCACACAGUGACGGUACUUAACCAGAAAGGGACGGCUAACUACGUGCCAGCAGCCGCGGUAAUACGUAGGUCCCGAGCGUUGUCCGGAUUUAUUGGGCGUAAAGCGAGCGCAGGCGGUUAGAUAAGUCUGAAGUGAAAGGCAGUGGCUCAACCAUUGUAGGCUUUGGAAACUGUUUAACUUGAGUGCAGAAGGGGAGAGUGGAAUUCCAUGUGUAGCGGUGAAAUGCGUAGAUAUAUGGAGGAACACCGGUGGCGAAAGCGGCUCUCUGGUCUGUAACUGACGCUGAGGCUCGAAAGCGUGGGGAGCGAACAGG
rnacentral:rRNA from 1 species